UCGUUGUUCACCAGGUGGAAGAAUCCGUGCCGGACCCUCGGCAUCCUCUGCACCAGUCCCCGACCAAAGUGGUUGAAGGCCAAAGUAAUUUGCAUGAUUUUGUCUUGAGUGUGCGCGUUGUUGGCGCCAAACAACAUCACCUGCAUGCAUGCAUGAUUUUCAAAUUCUGUACGCACCAUUAAUUAUUAGGUUAAUUAGUUUAAGGUUAAAGUAAUUCCAAUUUAAGUACAUCAUCGUGGUCAGUGAAGUGGGAGUUGGAGAUGGUGAUGGCGGUGGAAGCCAUGACGGCAUCGAUGAGCCCAUCUGCGCACCGGGACAUGGACAUGUGGUCGAUCCAGACGUUGGAGGCACCAAAGAGGGAGAUACCAUCGCCGUCACUCUUGGUCCUCAAACCCAUAUGGUCGACGGAGUCCCUGAUCAUACCACCGGGUUUGGACACAAUCAUUUUGAUGUGAAGGUUGGUGAGGAUUACAUUCUUCACAAACUGGAGGGUAAUGCCACCACCCUCUUCUAUCACAACAUUGGCUCCUCUACCAUCAAUGGUCUU
rnacentral:lncRNA from 1 species